AGUCGACGAACUUCUUUAUCACCGAGUGCUUGCACUCACCGAUAAAGAGUUGAGUGGCGAACGGGUGAGUAACACGUGGGCAACCUGCCCAAAAGAGGGGGAUAACACUUGGAAACAGGUGCUAAUACCGCAUAACCAUAGUUACCGCAUGGUAACUAUGUAAAAGGUGGCUAUGCUACCGCUUUUGGAUGGGCCCGCGGUGCAUUAGCUAGUUGGUGGGGUAAAGGCUUACCAAGGCAAUGAUGCGUAGCCGAACUGAGAGGUUGAUCGGCCACAUUGGGACUGAGACACGGCCCAAACUCCUACGGGAGGCAGCAGUAGGGAAUCUUCCACAAUGGGCGAAAGCCUGAUGGAGCAACGCCGCGUGGGUGAAGAAGGUCUUCGGAUCGUAAAACCCUGUUGUUAGAGAAGAAAGUGCGUGAGAGUAACUGUUCACGUUUCGACGGUAUCUAACUAGAAAGCCACGGCUAACUACGUGCCAGCAGCCGCGGUAAUACGUAGGUGGCAAGCGUUAUCCGGAUUUAUUGGGCGUAAAGGGAA
rnacentral:rRNA from 1 species